UACGAAGGGGGCUAGCGUUGCUCGGAUUGACUGGGCGUAAAGGGCGCGUAGGCGGUUUGUACAGUCAGACGUGAAAUUCCCGGGCUCAACCUGGGGGCUGCGUUUGAUACGUGCAGACUUGAGUUCGGAAGAGGGUCGUGGAAUUCCCAGUGUAGAGGUGAAAUUCAUAGAUAUUGGGAAGAACACCGGUGGCGAAGGCGGCGACCUGGUCCGAUACUGACGCUGAGGCGCGAAAGCGUGGGGAGCAAACAGG
rnacentral:rRNA from 1 species